CACGUAGGGCGCAAGCGUUGUCCGGAAUUAUUGGGCGUAAAGAGCUCGUAGGCGGUCUGUUGCGUCUGCUGUGAAAACCCGGGGCUUAACCCCUGGCUUGCAGUGGAUACGGACAGACUAGAGGUAGGUAGGGGAGAAUGGAAUUCCCGGUGUAGCGGUGAAAUGCGCAGAUAUCGGGAGGAACACCGGUGGCGAAGGCGGUUCUCUGGGCCUUACCUGACGCUGAGGAGCGAAAGCGUGGGUAGCAAACAGG
rnacentral:rRNA from 1 species